GUAAGAUUCAUGAUCAAAAGUGAAUAGCUUCCAAUAUCAUUUGCAGAAGAAAAAUGUUACAUAUACCAAAUAUUCAAGGGUCCUUGGAAUAUCUAAUAUAGAUUUCACUCCAGCAGAGAUAACAGCAACUGGAGUCCUGCCAAGCUCAGUGAGAUCAGAGGAUAUAUCCAUUGCUGCCAGGAAAACAAGUAAAUAAGUGUCAAUUUCAACAAUCAAGGUUUGAAUAACAGUAACUUUUCUAUGCUGCAUUUUUUUUUUUCAAUGAAAAAAAGGGAAUUCAUGAGAUCAACAACGGGUUUGUAAUGAAAGUUUGUGUCUCUAUAUCACGACUGACGAACAAGCCAAAAGCAUUGCUCAUUUCUUGAAAGUCAUGUAAUGAACAGCUUGCUCUUUUUGAUGAAUGAUGAUAGGAAAAGAACCUUAGUGCCAAAUAUUGUUAUUAAUGAUGUCAGUUCACAUUCUCUCAUUUCAUGGUGACAGAGACUAGUUUGCAUUAUCCACUCCUUGCUAGCAGAUCCCCCUCC
rnacentral:misc_RNA from 1 species